ensembl:lncRNA
AAAGAUUGCUUUAAUCAUCCAAAAGGCGUACAGAGGCAAUUUUUUCUCGUGACGUUGAAUUGGAAAAAGGGAGUGUGUGAGCGCUCCGCUCACCUGAGUGUCAGGAGCAGGUCCCCGGUGUGGAGGCUGGUCGCUGCCGCCGCUGCGCGUGCCACUGACUCUCCGGGAAUGUGCGGCGUCGCUCGCGCCAGCAGGAAGCAGUUGUUCUUCUCGGAACUCGGUGUGGGGCUCGCGCGCCACAGACGCCCGCCCAAAUAUGGUCAUGGGAAGUGCAUCGAGACUUCAGGGCCGUCGACCACUGUCGGAAAUCUCGCCACUGCGAGUUGACCCGCUACGGCCCCAAGACGGUGUGUUUGUGUCGGAUUGUGUGCAACAGGCAGCUGGGAAAAUAAAUUGAUGGAUGCAGUCUCCGGGUCCGGAAAAUAAAGCCAAUGCUGAAGUGCCUGUAUUCUCUGGAAUGACCAGCAGAGGGCGACUCCACUGGUUUCUAUAGAAGUCUAUGAGAAGAUGACCCUAAUUAUCACUUGAUUUAUAACGUCAGCAAACAUUUCCCUGAUGAGUUCAGGGUCUCAAUCUGUAGUUGCAGGUCUUCUUUAAUACAGCAUGAAGUUCAUUUUGUAAAUGGUGCUCUCAUUUAUAAUAAAAUAGACAAUAAACACUGUAAGCAUUGGAGCAUGGAUUCAGGGUGAUUGACAGAUAUUACCUUCCAAUUGGUGCAUGGUUGCAGGUGUAGGUGGGCGCCUCUCAGUCAGACCCACCCCUGCUCCUACGUCUGGUUCCAAAACAAAAACAAGAUGGCGCUGGUCAAAAUGCUAAACUCAAGGCUUCAAAACGGCAGUAGGCACAACCCAUGGGUGUGGUCACAGUGAGUUGCCACUUGAAUCAUUCUCUAUAGGUUGUUGUUUAAUUUAAUCCGUUGUAAUGUAAAUGUGACUACUGAAAAAGCUUAUGUACAUGAGGACUUCUUGGUAUUGGAUCUUUCUGGGAGCGCAUAUUUGGUUGGUUAGUAACUUUAACUGUUACUUUUGUGAAGUGGAGCCUCUCUAAACACUUAACCAACAAUUUCAGUGGUUGUUAGUAGAGGGCAGGUAUCUCUUUCUUUGGGACUGGGUAUGUUACAUUUGAAGAUUAGCCUAUACUUUCAAACCAAAAGGCAGUGGAAGUGAAAGAGUAGGGGUUCCCGGCGUGCACCUGAAGGCAUCAUUUGACUGUUGCUGAGGGACGUCGCCGAGAAAAAUCCCCCCCAGCGACGGAGGUGAACAAGGUCCAGCUGUCAGUCACACUUAGAUCCAUGUAUUUCUAUUUCGUCCCGCUUAAUUAGCCCCGCGCUUUAACGAUGUCGUUAUUUCCAAGCAACACUUGAACGGGAUCUAAAUACAUUAUGUUACUCAGGAGACAGGAAGUCAUGGGCUUCACCUUGCCUACAGUCUCAACUGCUACAGCCUGGAAAAAAAAACAAAAAACAUUUAUCAUCUUGCAUGGUGUCUCACUAUGUACAUUUUUACCUACAUUAAUUGUUGGCCAGUGAAAUAUUUCAGCCUGUCCUGCCCAGCAAUAAUUGAAAAGAAGUGUAAACAUUCGUUGGUAUAUAGUAAAUCAUAUGUGUGACUUGACCCAAAAUUCUCCUCAUAAUUACAAUGACCAGUGGAAAAAAUAUGCAUUUCGUAUAAAUCAAUCAUUUUCACUUGAUUAAAUACAGGAUUCAUUGGAAGAUGAGAUUAAAUCCUGGCAUUGAUACCUGCUUUCUUCACCAUGUGGUUGUCUGCAUCAGUGCUCUGCAAAAUGACACUCAGUAC